rnacentral:rRNA from 1 species
UACGUAGGGUGCAAGCGUUGUCCGGAAUUAUUGGGCGUAAAGAGCUCGUAGGCGGCCUGUUGCGUCCGCUGUGAAAUCCCGGGGCUCAACCCCGGGCCUGCAGUGGAUACGGGCUGGCUAGAGGCAGGCAGGGGAGAACGGAAUUCCUGGUGUAGCGGUGAAAUGCGCAGAUAUCAGGAAGAACACCCGUGGCGAAGGCGGCUCUCUGGGACGGUACUGACGCUGAGACGCGAAAGCGUGGGGAGCGAACAGG